rnacentral:rRNA from 1 species
AUGGCGACUGACGCCGACCUCGCCUCUCUCGACGACGCCCCCGCCUCUUCCGCCGCUCGCUUCCACCCCAAGGUAAGGGGCAAGGCCAAGGCCAAGGCGAAGACGAAGGCGAAGCCCAAGGCCAAGUCCGGACCGGGGGGUGAACCCCACGUGGCGGAGGGUGGCGUGGACGCGACGGAGACGGGCAUGGCGGGUGCUAGCGAGGGCGCGGAUGAGAUGGAUCCUGAGGGCGAGGACUUCGUGGUGCGGGAGAUGGACGUGUAUUUCACGCCCAAGCCCUUCGGCAAGGACACCAAGCUCUACAUCGCGCAGUACCCGCUGAGGCCAUGCUGGCGCCCCUACGAGCUCGGUGAAGUGUGCAAGGAGGUUCGCGUGAGGCCGGAGAGCUCAGAGGUCGAACUGGAUUUGGAGAUCGAUACAGAGAGUGACAACUACGACCCGGAGGUUUCUGCAUCUUUCGGGCUGACAGAGCAGACCUUACCAUCAUCGGAAGCAGCAGCUGAUGUGGCCGGUUAUGCUGUCGGGGUUCUUCGAGGCAACUUGGUCCAUCUGAAUCAUCUUGAUGCAGUUCUCCAACUGCGACCGUCGAUGUCGCAUCUCAUUUCCGGGGCAUCACGUACCACCAGGCAGCCUUUACAAGAGGUGGAAACAAAUGGUGGCCAGGCUGUUCCAUCAGUUAAGGGAGAUGAGCGCUCAGAGGGUUCCAACAAGGACUCAAUUAAAGCACCAGAGCCAUGGAUUUCUCUCACUUACGAACCAGCUGGGAGUGAUGUUGCAAGCAGGUACUAUGCUGACAUGAUGGCAAAUGAGGGCAUGCCCAUGGAUUUCACAAUGAGCGCACAAGAUUAUGCAAUGUCAUUGUGUCCUGGAGGGCCAGAAGGCAGCAAUCAUAUUAACAGAUGCGAGCUGUUACGCAAGAUGCUUUUGCUGCCACUGGAUGUGCGCCUCAAGAAAUGGUUUACUGAGGUGUCGCAAGUGAACCGCUUUGAUGCUCUAACGCAUCUUGCUCCAGACUGUUCGGAGGAAGACCUUCUGAAAAUUCUUCCAGCGUACGCAGAUUUGGUGCGUGGUUUAUGGGUCUGCAAAAGCUCUUUGCUGUAUGAUGAUGGACUUGCUUCCAAAAGGGAUAGAAUUCUGCUCGGAUUUACAAAAGGGGAGUCCAUACCUGUGACAUAUGUAGAGAGACUGAUCAGAGAUGAGCGAACGAGGAACAUGAUAUUGAACCCACUGGGUAAAAGAAGGGAGAAGCUUCAAGACUACAAGUUUAUUGUACCAGCAGAUUCAUCAUUCAUAAGACGUUAUUCCCAUAUAGUCAAGGAACAGGAAAAUGCUUGGUCAGUCCGCCUAAGAGCCUGA